rnacentral:rRNA from 1 species
UACGAACUGUGCGAACGUUAUUCGGAAUCACUGGGCUUACAGGGUGCGUAGGCGGCUUGUUAAGUAGGGUGUGAAAGCCCCCGGCUCAACCGGGGAAUUGCGCCCUAAACUGGCGAGCUGGAGUGAGAUAGGGGUGUGGAACUUCCGGUGGAGCGGUGAAAUGUGUUGAUAUCGGAAGGAACGCCGGUGGCGAAAGCGACACACUGGAUCUUGUCUGACGCUGAGGCACGAAAGCCAGGGGAGCGAACGGG